rnacentral:rRNA from 1 species
GAUCCUGGCUCAGGAUGAACGCUAGCUACAGGCUUAACACAUGCAAGUCGAGGGGAACGACAUCGAAAGCUUGCUUUUGAUGGGCGUCGACCGGCGCACGGGUGAGUAACGCGUAUCCAACCUGCCCAUCACUUGGGAAGUAACCUUGCGAAAGUAAGACUAAUGCCCAAUGAUAUCCCACGAAGGCAUCCGAAUGGGAUUAAAGAUUUAUCGGUGAUGGAUGGGGAUGCGUCUGAUUAG